GAGCAUUUAAUAAAGGAAUUACAAGAACAGGACAGACUUGGGAAACCAGGAGGGAUGGGUGCUCAAGGGGCAGCCCGGGCAGGAGAACCGCGUCUUCCCAAGGCCUGGAGAGGGAGGGCAGGAGCCAGUGCCGACCCAAGCCUUGUAGCUGUCGGUAAGAAGGCCUGGACAGGAGCCGCUCCCCACCCCUGACACACACAAAGGACACAGUGAGUCCCAAGCCCUUGGAGGGCAGUGGAAACGCCCCCUUAACAGGCAACGUUCUUCCGAGAAACAGAACCAGGGGGAUUUGUCCCGGCUUUCCUGACAUGAAAAAAACAAUAGGCGGUUCAUAUACACGUAUAUAUAUUUAGACAAUAGGCGGUUUACAUACACAUAUAUAUGUUUAGAGAACAGACGGUUUACAUACACGGAUAUACGUUUAGACAACAGGCAGUUUACAUACACGGAUAUAUGUUUAGAGAACAGGCGGUUUACAUACACGGAUAUAUGUUUAGACAACAACAGGCGGUUUACAUACACGGAUAUAUGUUUAGACAACAGGCGGUUUACAUACACGGAUAUAUGUUUAGACAACAGGCGGUUUACAUACACGGAUAUAUGUUUAGACAACAGGCGGUUUACAUACACGGAUAUAUGUUUAGACAACAGGCGGUUUACCUAGACGGAUAUAUGUUUAGAGAUUUAUUUUAAGGCAUUGGAUCCCGCAAUCAUGGGGGUUCAAAACCUGCAGGGCAGGCGGCAGGCAGGAGACACGCAGUAGGGCACGUCACCGUCUUGAGGCAGGUGUUCUCAGUGAAACCUCGGUUUUCACUCUUAAGGGCUUCCUUUGAAGGGAUGAGUCCCUCCCAGAAAAAUCGAGGCUAAUCUCCUUCAGAUCAUCUGAUUGUGGAUAUUGAGCUCCUCUGCAGGACACCUUCCCAGCUACACCUGGGCUCAUGUUUGAGCACUUAGGUACUGUGGCCUGGCCAGGAUUACAGGUAAUGCAAACCUCAUCCUCCCCAUUUUGCCUCUCCCAUCCUGGGCUUCUCUGCCAGGGCUUCCUAAGGGCUGAGCCAGAGGCGGAGAGGGCCUUGGGGGCAUGCAGAGAGCUCAGCAGAGCAAGAAGAGGUCAGCCAGGCUGGGGGUCCCGGCGACUCAGGCAGGAGCCUGACGUUUAAUUCCAGGUCUGCAGGAAACCAUCUUGAGCUCCAGGUGGGAGAGGGUUCCCUGUGAUCAGAUUCUGAGCCUCGGGCGGGAGAGCGUUCCCUGUGAUCAGAUUCUGAGCCCCAGGCGGGAAAGGGUUCCCUGUGAUCAGAUUCUGAGCCCCGGGCGGGAGAGGGUUCCCUGUGAUCAGAUUCCACAAAAGAAGAGCUUCUUCCUUCCCCUCCCAUUCCCAGUCACCCAUGAGACCCGUGGCUACCUGGUGGUGGCAUGUGGGGCAAACGCCUGUGUUGACCACCUGGGAGGUUUGGUUUCCUCCACUAGAAAACUGGAGAGCUGAAAACAUGUCCUUGUAGAACAUGUGAAAUGACCUCCUGGGGUGCCUGACGCUGCCCGUGCGGGCUCUGGCGAUGCCUCAGUGGCUUCCUAAGACACCCUCCUUCACCCCGUACAGUCUCCGGUGCAGAGAUGGACGAGCUGGGGGACUCAGGCAAUUUCCCCCACAAAGUGUUGCAAUGGAUUGAGAACGCCUCCCGGAGUGUCUGAGGCCACCUGCAUUUUCAGAAGAAAGUUCCACUUUCUUCAGAACAGAUAACGUGGUGCUUUGACUGCCAUUGUUAUCUGCUGCACCGAGUCAGGAGAGGCUGGGCCGUGACGUGACGCAGUAACAAGCAAACCUCCAAAAUCUCACAGCUUAAUCGCGCUACAGCGUAUUUCUCUCUAGGGCAAGCAGCACACGGAUUGUCAGGGCCCUCCUCCAGGGUCACUGGGGGGCCGGGUUCCCCAUCUCCUAGUGCCGCCCUCACAGACAUGCCUCCAGGGUCCCACGGCAGAGAGGGGCCUGUGGAGGAGGCAUGCAACCUCUGAGUGUGUUGGCAAGCCGACUCAUGGUCCUUCUGCUCAGAGCCCAUUGGCCAUGGCUGGUCACAUGGUCCCAACCUCACCUCGAGGGACGCUGGGCCUGAAGGAAAACACACAGAAUAUUUAGAGAAUUCUCCUGCCCUUCCUCUAUGGAAAUGUGGGACAGCUGGGCAUGUCUAAAAUUAAUUGGUUUUUAAGAAUGUUCAGUAAGAUCCCAUCCUGGGAAGAAAACCCUAUUUAAAAAUAUAUCAUAUAGAAUAUAUAAAACAUAUACACAUACAGAUAUAGACUGUGUGUGUUUUCUAUUUCCAUGUAGCAAAUUACCCCAAAACUGAGCAGUGUAAAACAACAAACCUUCAUUAUCUUACAGUUUCAGAGGCUCCAGGAUUUGGAAGAAGCCCAGUGGGGUGGCUGUGGCUCAGGAUCUGGCACGAGGUUGCCGCCAGGACGGCAACACCUGCACGUGCGACUGGGCUGGGGGAUCCGUUUCCAAGGAAGCUUGCUCACAUGGCUGCUGGGGAGAGGCCUCCAGUCCUCACAAGGCCAUUGGUGGAGGCUGCAGCUCCUCACAGGCUAUUGGCGGGAGGCCUCAGUCCCUGGCCUCAUAGGCUUCUCCACAAGGCUGCUUGAGCAUUCUCCUAACAUGGCGACUGUCUUCCCCCAGAGUGACCCCAGGGAGAGCAAGGUGGGAUCCACAAAGCCAUUUGUGAACUAGGCUUGGACAUCACUCACUGUCACACAGGCCAACUCUGAUACAAUGAUACCAGGACGCUGUGAUGGCCAAUUUCAUGUGUCACCUUGACUGGGAAGAGGUGGCGAGAUAUUUGGCCGCAUGUUCUCUAGGGUAUCUGUGAGCUGUCUCUGGGUGAGAUCAGCAUUUGAGUUGAAGGACUGAGGAAAGUCCAUGGCUGUCCCCUGCGUGGGCGGGCAUCCUCCAAUCCCUUGAAGGCCUGAGCAGAACAAAAGGCUGAGGGAGGGAGAGCCCACUUUCUCUGCCUGAAGGUCUUCAAGCUGAUGGGAUCUUGUCCAGCCUUCAGAUUUGAACUCGGCUGCAUCAUCAGCUCUCCUGGGUCUCAGGACAUCUCAGCUUCUGUAAUCACAUGAGCCAGUUCCCUGGAAUAAAUAAACCCGUCUCCUACUGCUUCUGUUUCUCCGGAGAACCCUGAUGAAUACAGCUAUGGAGGCUGGCGGGGAAGACCCCAGAGACAUCCUGGAGGCUCCCACAGAGAGAGGGGGGUGGUGCAGGGUUUUAUUUCCAGUAGGAAUUUUACUAGAGCAGCGGAAUUGAUGACUAAGGUCCACAGAUGAAAAUGACAGAGGUUCCAAGCAACCCCCAACACCACCCAGCACAAUCUCCACAUUCUAAGAAACUCAUUAGACCCAGACACACAGCCUGCAGGGCUGAGCAGGACUGACCCGCCAGUCACCCAGCCGCAGCCCCAGCCUCUGUGUGGGGAUAGGGAGGUCGGAGUCAUCAGAGCUGGUGGCUCAUCAGGGUACCAGCCCAGAGGGUGGAGGGGAGCGAGCAGGAGAGCACGCACACCUCUGUCCCCACCCCAAGUCUGGAGAGACAGCAGCCUCACCCCGGGGCAGGGGAGCAUGAGCAGGACAGAAGAUUCGAGCUUUCAGCUGGGCUGGGCUGCAUUUCCACAGUUAAAAGUGAGCAGACGGCCGGGUGCGGUGGCUCAACGCACUCUGGGAGACCAAGGCGGGUGGAUCACAAGGUCAGUAGUUCAAGACCAGCCUGGCCCACGUGGCGAAACCCUGUCUCUACCAAAAAUACAAAACAUUAGCCAGGUGUGGUGGUGGGUGCCUGUAGUCCCAGCUGCUUGGGAGGCUGAGGCAGGAGAAUUGCUUGAACCCAGGAGACGGAGGUUGCAGUGAGCCGAGAUCACACCACUGUACUCCAGCCUAGGCAACAAAGCAAGACUCUAUCUAAAAAAAAAAAAAAAAGAAAAAGAAAGUGAGCAGACUCAGGGGAGUCUGUCCCAGGGGCUGUAAGGGACAAGGAGGGGAGUAUGACGGGGCUGGCUGAAAGCUGCGAUUGGCCAAAAGAAAGUAGUCUGUACUCAUCCCAGGGCUGAGGCUGGGCCAGCAAUAGUAUGUAGACAGCACGGCCCAGGCAGGUGACGGUGUGUAGACAGCACGGCCCAGGCAGGUGACGGUGUGUAGACAGCACGGCCCAGGCAGGUGACGGUGUGUAGACAGCACGGCCCAGGCAGGUGAUGGUGUGUAGACAGCACGGCCCAGGCCGGUGUCGGUGUGUAGACAGCACGGCCCAGGCAGGUGACGGUGUGUAGACAGCACGGCCCAGGCCGGUGUAGACAGCACGGCCCAGGCCGGUGUCAGUGUGUAGACAGCACAGCCCAGGCCGGUGUCAGUGUGUAGACAGCACAGCCCAGGCAGGUGACGGUGUGUAGACAGCACGGCCCAGGCAGGUGACGGUGUGUAGACAGCACGGCCCAGGCCGGUGUCGGUGUGUAGACAGCACGGCCCAGGCAGGUGACGGUGUGUAGACAGCACAGCCCAGGCCGGUGUAGACAGCACAGCCCAGGCCGGUGUAGACAGCACGGAUGCAGCCGGGCUCCAGCUGCUCGGCCAUGUCCGUGGCCUGCAGAAUUCUAAGAAAAACAAUGACAGGUAGUGUGUGUGUUCAUCCAUUCUCGCAUUAUAUAAAGAAAUACACAAGGCCGGGUGCGGUGGCUCACGCCUGUAAUCCCAGCACUUUGGGAGGCCAAGGCAGCCGGAUCAUGAGGUCAGGAGAUCCAGACCAUCCUGGCCAACAUGGUGAAACCCCAUCUCUACUAAAAAUACAAA
rnacentral:lncRNA from 10 species